rnacentral:rRNA from 1 species
AGAUCAUCACUGGGUAUAAAGCGUGCGCAGGCGGUUGUGCAAGACCGAUGUGAAAUCCCCGGGCUCAACUUGGGAACUGCGUUCUGAACUGGGUGACUAGAGUGUGUCAGAGGGAGGUAGAAUUCCACGUGUAGCAGUGAAAUGCGUAGAGAUGUGGAGGAAUACCGAUGGCGAAGGCAGCCUCCUGGGAUAACACUGACGUUCAUGCCCGAAAGCGUGGGUAGCAAACAGGAUUAGAUACCCUGGUAGUCCACGCCCUAAACGAUGUCGAUUAGCUGUUGGGCAGCAUGACUGCUUAGUAGCGAAGCUAACGCGUGAAAUCGACCGCCUGGGGAGUACGGUCGCAAGAUUAAAACUUAAAUUAAUUGACGG